rnacentral:rRNA from 1 species
UACGUAGGGUGCAAGCGUUGUCCGGAUUCAUUGGGCGUAAAGCGCGCGUAGGCGGUUCGGUAAGUCGGGUGUGAAAACACGAGGCUCAACCUCGUGCGUGCAUCCGAUACUGCCGGACUAGAGGUAGGUAGGGGAGAUCGGAAUUCCUGGUGUAGCGGUGAAAUGCGCAGAUAUCAGGAGGAACACCGGUGGCGAAGGCGGAUCUCUGGGCCUUACCUGACGCUCAGGCGCGAAAGCUAGGGGAGCGAACAGG